CCUGCUGAAGAGAUACCAUACACACAGUCUGUAGUUUACUGCCCUGCUGAAGAGAUACCAUACACACAGUCUGUAGUUUACUGCCCUGCUGAAGAGAUACCAUACACACAGUCUGUAGUUUACUGCCCUGCUGAAGAGAUACCAUACACACAGUCUGUAGUUUACUGCCCUGCUGAAGAGAUACCAUACACACAGUCUGUAGUUUACUGCCCUGCUGAAGAGAUACCAUACACACAGUCUGUAGUUUACUGCCCUGCUGAAGAGAUUCUUUAAAGCUGCAAUCAGCAGUUGAAACAAAAAACAAAGCCUUUUCCCCUCCACUGUUUUGCUAAAAAGCUGAGUAAUGGGGCCGGAGAAAUGUGACCACUCUCCAUUUCAUAGACAGAGCUGUAGAUACAAGGACUGAUUGUCUAAUACAACACCAUGAUAGUUUGAACCGUGUUCUGAGGCUAUUCACUUCCUUUGUUUAGGCAUAUUGGAGAAAAACAAGCUGAUAUUUUGAGUGUCACAGUUGACCUAAGCGCAUGAGGCAAUUUAUUUUACCUUUAUUUAACUGGGCGAGUCAGUUAAGAACAAACUCGUAUUUACAGUGACGGCCCAGGAACAGUGGGGUUAACUGCCUUUUUCAGGGGCAGAAAGACAGAUUUUUACCUCUUCAGCUUAGGGAUUCGAUCUAGCAACCUUUCGGUUACUGGCCCAACGCUCCAACCACUAGUUUACCUGCCACUGACCAGUUAUAUUCUUCAAGAAUCAAUGGAUACACCUGUAUAUCAUUCAUUUAUAAGUCCAAAAAUGGAUGUGUCUACUGCAGAUUGUCUCUCUAAGAUGAGGUGACAUGUUCUUCAGUAUAAACCUAAAGAGAGAUUCCACAGCUGUGAUUAGGAUGACUGUGCUGACGGAGGAUACAGGGGGAGACGAGGGAGGGGGGGCGAGGAGGUGUCCUAUUACCCAUGAUCCUCCUGUCUCAUCGCCAUCACUCAGGGUCUAGGUCUGUUGGUACAUGCCCUUCCUUCCUUCCCAGCGUCCCUCAUCCACAACGCUCCAAUUCACCUCUCAGCUGCCACUCAGCGGCUUUUAAACACAUUCUAACACACAUCAAAGGAACCACUUCUCCUUGAGGAGCUCAAACACUUCAGGAGACUCGGACCGCAGAAAAGGAGGAGGUCUGGGAGACUCUGACCGCAGGAAAGGAGGAGGUCUGGGAGACUCGGACCGCAGAAAAGGAGGAGGUCUGGGAGACUCUGACCGCAGGAAAGGAGGAGGUCUGGGAGACUCGGACCGCAGAAAAGGAGGAGAUCUGGGAGACUCGAACCGCAGAAAAGGAGGAGGUCUGGGAGACUCGGACCGCAGAAAAGGAGGAGGUCUGGGAGACUCGGACCGCAGAAAAGGAGGUCUGGGAGACUCGGACCGCAGAAAAGGAGGAGGUCUGGGAGACUCGGACCGCAGAAAAGGAGGAGGUCUGGGAGACUCGGACCGCAGAAAAGGAGGAGGUCUGGGAGACUCGGACCGCAGAAAAGGAGGUCUGGGAGACUCGGACCGCAGAAAAGGAGGAGGUCUGCUAUGGAUUCUUUAACAUCAGAAAUAGACGUUAAAAUGACAAGACUCUUGAAUACGGACACUGAAUCUUAGAGUGUUCAGUUUACCUUCAUGAUGAGUGCAAGAGCAGUAUUAAUUCAUAUUCACAAUGAUGACCAUGUUAUCUGAGGGUUAGUGCUAGUGUUAGGUUUAGGCUUAGGCUUAGGUUUAGGCUUAGGUCUAGGCUUAGGCUUAGGUUUAGGCUUAGGGAUAUGUGACGUCAAAGUUGUAAACUUUAUGAUGAGUGCAAGUGCAUAUUAAUUCAUAUUAACAAGGAUGACCAUGUUAUCUGAGGGUUAGUGCUAGUGUUAAGUUUAGGUUUAGGCUUAAGGUUAGGUUUAUUGUUAGGCUUAGGCUUAGGUUUAAGGUUAGGGUUAGGCUUAGGCUUAGGUUUAGGAUUAGGGUUAGGUUUAAGGUUAGGUUUAGGUUUAGGGUUAGGUUUAAGGUUAGGUUUAUUGUUAGGCUUAGGUUUAGGGUUAGGCUUAGGCUUAGGUUAAAGGUUAGGUUUAUUGUUAGGCUUAGGGUUAUGUGAUGUCUAAGUUGUAUAAUUGUGUAUAUUCUAUGAACUACUGCCAUUACAUAAUAACGAGGGUUGAUUGUUUCUGAGUGGUGUGAGCAGACCCCAGUGUGAGGUCGUGUAGAGUCGCCCCACAGGAGGCCAUCGUCCUGUAAUCAAUACCAAUCCAAACCAAUACUGGAUCAAUACCAGGACCACCUGAGAGACUCAACACACCACUGCCUUGUCAGUCCUUUAGUUCUGCUGCUUUAAUCAUCUGUCUACACCUGACGCUGUUUGUCUUUCUCACCACUGUCUCUCACCAGCAUCACUUCUGUCUGUCUGUCUGUCUGUCUGUCUGGUGGGGGUUGGUAACUGGCCAGCCUGCUCACACACUUCAAAGAUGCUGUUCUCUCUAUUAGAAUGGGUUACUGCUGUCUUGUCAAGGUGUGUUUUGCAUUAUGUCACCGAAUAACUAUUGUAGGUAAUAGUUAAAACUCAGUGGGGGCCCGCCCACAGGGCGCUAGGGGCGACGCUCCACUUGUGAUUGGUCCAAAAAAUAAAAUAAAAAAUAAUAGAAAAGUAUAUAUAUUAAGUAAUUAAUGGAUUAUGUUUUCAAUGUUCAUAAGAGUGUGAUGUAUGUGUACAUUUUCCUAUUUCAACAAUCUAUUGGUUAAAACAAUCUGUUUGGUUCCUUCCUACCCUGCCAGCAGCAGCAGCUCCGUGGGCUCACAGGCGCUGAAAACAUUUCAUGGCUUGUUUCACCAGUUAUUUACUCCGAGGGGGAACUUCCCCGGUGAUACGUUUUAACAGCACGAAGUAAACGGACCUUCCUGGAGCGUUCAAACGUCAGAACCAGAACCUCUGGGUCUAGUCUCCUUCCUGUGACGGCUCACCUCCUCAACUGAGACCAGUUCUGCUCGAGUCUCCUUUCUAUGACGGCUCACUUCCUCAACUGAGACCAGGUCUGCUCUAGUCUCCUUCCUAUGACGGCUCACUUCCUCAACUGAGACCAGGUCUGCUCUAGUCUCCUUCCUAUGACGGCUCACUUCCUCAACUGAGACCAGGU
ensembl:lncRNA